rnacentral:rRNA from 1 species
UGCAUAUCAAUAAGCGGAGGAAAAGAAACCAACAGGGAUUGCCUUAGUAGCGGCGAGUGAAGCGGCAAGAGCUCAAAUUUGAAAUCUGGUACUUUCAGUAUCCGAGUUGUAAUUUGAAGAAAGUUAUCUUGGAGUUGGCCCUUGUCUAUGUUCCUUGGAACAGGACGUCACAGAGGGUGAGAAUCCCGUGCGAUGGGGUGCCCAUUCUAUGUAAGAUACUUUCGACGAGUCGAGUUGUUUGGGAAUGCAGCUCUAAGUGGGUGGUAAAUUCCAUCUAAAGCUAAAUAUUGGCGAGAGACCGAUAGCGAACAAGUACAGUGAUGGAAAGAUGAAAAGAACUUUGAAAAGAGAGUGAAAAAGUACGUGAAAUUGUUGAAAGGGAAGGGUAUUUGAUCAGACUGAUAUUCAGUUAACACUGUUCCUUGUGGAUGGUGCUCUAGCUUUUUAUUGGGCCAGCAUCAGUUUAGGUGGCAGGAUAAGAACUGUUGAACGUGGCUCUUCGUAUGUUAUAGCUUCAGUUGAUACUGCCUAUCUAGACUGAGGUCUGCGGCUUUGCCUAGGAUGC